UAAUACGUAGGUGGCGAGCGUUGUCCGGAAUUACUGGGCGUAAAGGGCGCGCAGGCGGGUUUUUAAGUCAGAUGUGUAAUCUACAGGCUCAACCUGUAGUUUGCAUCUGAUACUGGAAAUCUUGAGGGUAGGAGAGGACAGUGGAAUUCCUAGUGUAGCGGUGAAAUGCGUAGAUAUUAGGAGGAACACCAGUGGCGAAGGCGGCUGUCUGGCCUACAACUGACGCUGAGGCGCGAAAGCGUGGGUAGCGAACAGGAUUAGAUACCCUGGUAGUCCACGCCGUAAAUCGAUGGGUACUAGGUGUAGGAGGUAUCGACCCCUUCUGUGCCGGAGUUAACACAAUAAGUACCCCGCCUGGGGACUACGGCCGCAAGGCUAAAACUCAAAGGAAUUGACGGGGGCCCGCACAAGCGGUGGAGCAUGUGGUUUAAUUCGACGCAACGCGAAGAACCUUACCAGGGCUUGACAUCCUCUGAUGUCCAUAGAGAUAUGGAGUUUGAUCUUCGGAUUGACAGAGAGACAGGUGGUGCAUGGUUGUCGUCAGCUCGUGUCGUGAGAUGUUGGGUUAAGUCCCGCAACGAGCGCAACCCUUAUUCUUAGUUGCCAGCAUUAAGUUGGGCACUCUAAGGAGACUGCCGGUGACAAACCGGAGGAAGGUGGGGAUGACGUCAAAUCAUCAUGCCCUUUAUGUCCUGGGCUACACACGUGCUACAAUGGCCUGUACAGAGGGUAGCGAAGCUGUGAAGUGGAGCCAAUCCCAAAAAGCAGGUCUCAGUUCGGAUUGUAGGCUGCAACUCGCCUACAUGAAGUCGGAAUCGCUAGUAAUCGCGAAUCAGCAUGUCGCGGUGAAUACGUUCCCGGGCCUUGGUACACACCGCCCGUCACACCACGAAAGUUGACAACACCCGAAGCCGGUGUACUAACCGUAAGGAAGAAGCCGUCGAAGGUGGGGCCGAUGAUUGGGGUG
rnacentral:rRNA from 1 species